GACGAACGCUGGCGGCGUGCUUAACACAUGCAAGUCGAACGGUAAGGCCCUUCGGGGUACACGAGUGGCGAACGGGUGAGUAACACGUGGGUGAUCUGCCCUGCACUUCGGGAUAAGCCUGGGUAACUGGGUCUAAUACCGGAUAGGACCACUGCCUGCAUGGGUGGUGGUGGAAAGCUUUUGCGGUGUGGGAUGGGCCCGCGGCCUAUCAGCUUGGUGGUGGGGUGAUGGCCUACCAAGGCGACGACGGGUAGCCGGCCUGAGAGGGUGACCGGCCACACGGGGGCUGAGAUACGGCCGAGAGUACUACGGGAGGCAGCAGUGGGGAAUAUUGCACAAUGGGCGCAAGCCUGAUGCAGCGACGCAGCGUGAGGGAUGACGGCCUUCGGGUUGUAAACCUCUUUCAGCACCGACGAAGCGCAAGUGACGGUAGGUGCAGAAGAAGGACCGGCCAACUACGUGCCAGCCGCCGCAGUAA
rnacentral:rRNA from 1 species